CCUGCCAGUGACAAUUAAACGGCCGCGGUACCCUAACCGUGCAAAGGUAGCAUAAUCAUUUGUCUAUUAAUUGUAGACCUGUAUGAAAGGUAAAAUGAGGACCUUACUGUCUCUUAUAAUAAGUCAAUUAAACUGAUCUCCUAGUUCAAAAGCUAGAAUACUCACAUAAGACCAGAAGACCCUGUGAAGCUUAAACUAAACUAUUAAACCCUAUAAUAGCUCCUUUCGGUUGGGGCGACCUUGGAAAAAAAGAGAACUUCCAACAUACAAUCCUAUAAAUUUCACCCAGGCUGACAAGCCACCAAAGACCCAGCACAGCUGAUAAUUGAACCAAGUUACUCCAGGNAUAACAGCGCUAUCUUCUUCAAGAGCCCAUAUCAAAAAGAAGGUUUACGACCUCGAUGUUGGAUCAGGACAUCCUAAUGGUGCAGCAGCUAUUAAGGGUUCGUUUGUUCAACGAUUAAUAGUCCUACGUGAUCUGAU
rnacentral:rRNA from 1 species